CGGGGUGUAGCUCAGCGACGCAGAGCGCUCGGUUCGGGACCGAGAGGCCGCAGGUGCAACUCCUGCCACUCCGA
rnacentral:tRNA from 2 species